rnacentral:rRNA from 1 species
AGGACGAACGCUGGCGGCGUGCUUAACACAUGCAAGUCGAGCGGUAAGGCCCUUUCGGGGGUACACGAGCGGCGAACGGGUGAGUAACACGUGAGCAAUCUGCCCUUCACUUCGGGAUAAGCCUCGGAAACGGGGUCUAAUACCGGAUAUGACUGCGCCAUGCAUGUGGUGUGGUGGAAAGUUCUGGCGGUGAGGGAUGAGCUCGCGGCCUAUCAGUCUUGGUUGGGUAGGGUAAUCGGCCUACCGAAGGUCGUUACGGACGGGUACGCCGGCCGUGAGGAGGGUCGACCGGCCACGACGUGGACUGAACGACCGACGGCCCAGACCGUCCGUACGGGAGCCGAGCGAGGUAGGGAAUAGU